rnacentral:misc_RNA from 1 species
GGACUUUUAUGGAAUCAGGACAGAAUGUAACCACAAUAACAGUACAAUUCAGAUUGACAGAAGAAAUAGAACUAUUUUCUUCAAGUAAACCAUGGACAAGACAGGUUUAGAAGUUGAUAUCAUGUACAAACAUUGAAGGGGUUAUAAUAUUGUCCAUGAUCUGCUAAACCCUUAGGGAUCUGCUUUUCCAGCAAGUUCAUCAUCACUGGAGACAUUUUCUUCUUCACUCAACUCUUCAUCACUAGAUUUUUCUUCAGGUGGAGCCCCAGCGUCUUCUUUCUUAGCGUAUUUCUCGCAAUACUCUUUCACCUUUUGAUCAUAAGUAGUACGAUCGCGCAUCAUGAGAGCUGCAGCUUCUCCAUUCAGGGGAUCCGAUGGGUUAGGAUAUAAAAGGAGUUGGGGAAGGAACACUUCAAAAACAUUUACAAGA